UACAGAGGGUGCAAGCGUUAAUCGGAAUUACUGGGCGUAAAGCGCACGUAGGUGGCUUGAUAAGUUGGGUGUGAAAUCCCCGAGCUUAACUUGGGAAUUGCAUUCAAGACUGUCUUGCUAGAGUGUGGAAGAGGGAAGCGGAAUUCCAGGUGUAGCGGUGAAAUGCGUAGAUAUCUGGAGGAACAUCAGUGGCGAAGGCGGCUUCCUGGUCCAACACUGACACUGAGGUGCGAAAGCGUGGGGAUCAAACAGG
rnacentral:rRNA from 1 species